AUGAACAAAACUUUAGGCGGGAAUCGGGCACAGAAAGCAGUGGCAAUUAUCAAACAGCGGGCAUCACCGCAGUGGAAUCACUACCAGAAACGAUUUCCGCCGAAUGGCAUGCGAACCAGACAGAGUGGAGUGGAGAGUGUACGCAAGGAAGCAAAGAGAGUGCGGAGGAGCACCGCAAAGUGUCUGCACAACAUGUUAAAAAUUCACCUACCACACAACAUUGGAUUCCCGCCCGUGGAAAUCAGCGUCGUCCGCGUGUGGGAAUCAUCGCCGUUUGCCACAGUGAAGUUGUCGCACCGCGAGCAGUAG
rnacentral:rRNA from 1 species